CAGCGGAGGGAUCAUUACCGAGUUUACAACUCCCAAACCCAAUGUGAACCUUACCAAACUGUUGCCUCGGCGGGGUCACGCCCCGGGUGCGUAAAAGCCCCGGAACCAGGCGCCCGCCGGAGGAACCAACCAAACUCUUUCUGUAGUCCCCUCGCGGACGUAUUUCUUACAGCUCUGAGCAAAAAUUCAAAAUGAAUCAAAACUUUCAACAACGGAUCUCUUGGUUCUGGCAUCGAUGAAGAACGCAGCGAAAUGCGAUAAGUAAUGUGAAUUGCAGAAUUCAGUGAAUCAUCGAAUCUUUGAACGCACAUUGCGCCCGCCAGUAUUCUGGCGGGCAUGCCUGUCCGAGCGUCAUUUCAACCCUCGAACCCCUCCGGGGGAUCGGCGUUGGGGAUCGGGACCCCUCACCGGGUGCCGGCCCUGAAAUACAGUGGCGGUCUCGCCGCAGCCUCUCCUGCGCAGUAGUUUGCACAACUCGCACCGGGAGCGCGGCGCGUCCACGUCCGUAAAACACCCAACUUCUGAAAUGUUGACCUCGGAUCAGGUAGGAAUACCCGCUGAACUUAAGCAUAUCAAUA
rnacentral:rRNA from 1 species